CGACUGAGUGGCGGACGGGUGAGUAACGCGUGGGCAACCUGCCCCAUACAGGGGGAUAACAGUUAGAAAUGACUGCUAACACCGCAUAAGCGCACAGGGCCGCAUGGCCCGGUGUGAAAAACUCCGGUGGUAUGGGAUGGGCCCGCGUCUGAUUAGCCGGUUGGCGGGGUAACGGCCCACCAAAGCGACGAUCAGUAGCCGACCUGAGAGGGUGACCGGCCACAUUGGGACUGAGACACGGCCCAAACUCCUACGGAAGGCAGCAG
rnacentral:rRNA from 1 species